ensembl:lncRNA
GUAGGGCAAAGAAAAUAAAUCCAUCAAAGCUGACUGAAUAACAGAGAGAAUUGCCAGCUGAAAGCAUUUCUGACUCUUGAUGCCUUCAAAAGCCAGGAAACUUAAUCCUGGCCUUAUGUUUCUUUCUUCGUGCCCAAAAGGCAGCCAAGCUCGUCACUAAACCAAGGGAGGUGAAGCAGGUCUGUGCUGUCUGGGGGUUCAGUCUCAGGAAUGCCCACUUGUCUGCAGGUAGAAAUCACAGCGUCUGCUCCCAGCUCUUUCAAAAUCAGUUUGCCCUGGCAUGGAUUUGAGAGUUGGACCAUUGGAAGGUUGAAUGCUGAAGAACUGAUACUUUCAAACUGUGGUGCUAGAGAAGACUCUUGAGAGUCCGUUGGACAGCAAGGAGAUCAAACCAGUCAAUCUGAAAGGAAAUCAACCCUGAAUAUCCAUUGGAAGGACUGAUGUUGAAGCUGAAGCUCCAAUACUUUGGCCACCUGAUACAAAGAGCGGACUUAUUGGGAAAGACCCGGAUGCUGGGAAAGAUUGAAGGCAAAAGGAGAAGUGGGUGGCAGAGGAUGAGAUGGUUGGAUGGCAUCACCGACUCCACGGACAUAAGUUUGAGCAGACUCUGAGACAUGGUGAAGAGGGGGAAGCCUGGUGUGCUGCAGUCCAUGGGGUCUCAAAGAGUCAGACACAACUGAGCAACUGAACAAUAGAACAUUUUGGACUGGCGAUCAGCAGAUAUAAGUUCUGAUCUGGGCUUGGAAUCUUCUGGCUUUGCAGCUUCUAGGGAGCAACUGCCCUCAGCUUUGAUUUCCCCACACCAAAGCUUCUGUGAGUCCAAGGUCAAGGGACUGUGAUCUGGAGGCACCAUGAAGAGGUGAUGCUCAUCUUUGUGCAAGAAAGAAGACUUCUGUGCACUUGAAACUAGCUGCUCUGUUUGCCCCUCCCCUCCUUGAGAAAACUCAUGCUAUUUUUCAAAGAUUCUGAAAGCAUUUCAGGUCGUUUAUGGCAACAUUUGCCUAACAACAGCGGUCAUUCUCAGCUUAGAUUUUUCUUAAACCAGUUGCAGUAGGAGAGUAUAUUUUGAUUGGCAGGGAUAGAAGGGAGAAAUUAUAUGCAUUUACUUGUACUCAGUCGUGUCUGAGACUCUUUGCAACCCCCUGGACUAUAGCCCGCCAGACCCCUCUGUCCAUGGAAUUCUCCAGGCAAGAAUAUUGGAGUGGGUCACAAUUUCCUUCUCCACAUUUACUCAAGAAGCAUAUCCUAAAUAACAGCUUCAGAAAAAGGUAAUUGAGGACAUUGUUAAAUAAUAUAUUAAUAGCCUGACCUCUUCCAUUUAGAGCUUAUUGUUUAAUUUAAGUACAUCUUAUGAACUCCCAGUGCCUUGUAAAUUCUCUCUGCAAAGCGGGUUAGUAAAGUCUCGCUUCCAUGAAAGGAAUAGUGCACAAUGCAGCUGGACAGUGAGCAUAAUCAGC